AGCAGCCGCGGUAAUUCCAGCUCCAAUAGCGUAUAUUAAAGUUGCUGCAGUUAAAAAGCUCGUAGUUGAAUUUCGGGACUAAUAUGUCGGUCGUGCCUCGGUACGUACUGGUAUUUUUGGUUUCUCCCUUCUGACGAACCUUGAUGUCAUUAAUUUGGUGUCUUGGGAAAUCAGGACUGUUACUUUGAAAAAAUUAGAGUGUUUAAAGCAGGCUCACGCUUGAAUACAUUAGCAUGGAAUAAUGAAAUAGGACGUUUGAUUCUAUUUUGUUGGUUUCUAGGAUCGACGUAAUGAUUAAUAGGGAUAGUUGGGGGCAUUAGUAUUCAAUUGUCAGAGGUGAAAUUCUUGGAUUUAUUGAAGACUAACUACUGCGAAAGCAUUUGCCAAGGAUGUUUUCAUUAAUCAAGAACGAAAGUUAGGGGAUCGAAGGCGAUCAGAUACCGUCGUAGUCUUAACCAUAAACUAUGCCGACUAGGGAUCGGAUGAUGUUAAUUUUUUCAAUGACUCAUUCGGCGCCUUA
rnacentral:rRNA from 1 species